rnacentral:rRNA from 1 species
GACGAACGCUGGCGGCGUGCCUAAUACAUGCAAGUCGAGCGAGUCUGCCUUGAAGAUCGGAGUGCUUGCACUCUGUGAAACAAGAUACAGGCUAGCGGCGGACGGGUGAGUAACACGUGGGUAACCUGCCCAAGAGAUCGGGAUAACACCUGGAAACAGAUGCUAAUACCGGAUAACAACAGAUGAUGCCUAUCAACUGUUUAAAAGAUGGUUCUGCUAUCACUCUUGGAUGGACCUGCGGUGCAUUAGCUAGCUGGUAGGGUAACGGCCUACCAAGGCGAUGAUGCAUAGCCGAGUUGAGAGACUGAUCGGCCACAUUGGGACUGAGACACGGCCCAAACUCCUACGGGAGGCAGCAGUAGGGAAUCUUCCACAAUGGACGCAAGUCUGAUGGAGCAACGCCGCGUGAGUGAAGAAGGGUUUCGGCUCGUAAAGCUCUGUUGUUGGUGAAGAAGGACAGGGGUAGUAACUGACCUUUGUUUGACGGUAAUCAAUUAGAAAGUCACGGCUAACUAAGUG